AGCAGCCGCGGUAAUUCCAGCUCCAAUAGCGUAUAUUAAAGUUGUUGCAGUUAAAAAGCUCGUAGUUGAAUUUCGGGAUUGACACAUCGGUCGUGCCUUAAGGGGUAUGAACUGGUGUAGUCAAUUUCUCACCUUCUGGAGAACCACGAUGCCCUUAAUUGGGUGUCGCGGGGAACCAGGACCUUUACUUUGAAAAAACUUAGAGUGUUUAAAGCAGGCAUUUUGCUUGAAUACAUUAGCAUGGAAUAAUAAAAUAGGACGGCAUGAUUCUAUUUUGUUGGUUUCUAGGAUCACCGUAAUGAUUAAUAGGGAUAGUUGGGGGCAUUAGUAUUCAAUUGUCAGAGGUGAAAUUCUUGGAUUUAUUGAAGACUAACUACUGCGAAAGCAUUUUGCCAAGGAUGUUUUUCCAUUAAUCAAGAACGAAAGUUAGGGGUAUCGAAGACGAUCAGAUACCGUCGUAGUCUUAACCAUAAACUAUGCCGACUAGGAAUCAGACGAUGUUAAUUUUUUUCAAUGACUC
rnacentral:rRNA from 1 species